rnacentral:rRNA from 1 species
UACGAAGGGUGCAAGCGUUAAUCGGAAUUACUGGGCGUAAAGCGCGCGUAGGUGGUUCAGCAAGUUGGAUGUGAAAGCCCUGGGCUCAACCUGGGAACUGCAUCCAAAACUACUGAGCUAGAGUACUGGAGAGGUUGGUGGAAUUCCACGUGUAGCGGUGAAAUGCGUAGAGAUGUGGAGAAACACCAGUGGCGAAGGCGGCCAACUGGACAGUAACUGACGCUGAGGCGCGAAAGUGUGGGUAGCAAACAGGAUUAGAAACCCCUGUAGU